GAUGAACGCUGGCGGCGUGCCUAAUACAUGCAAGUCGAGCGAAUGGAUUAAGAGCUUGCUCUUAUGAAGUUAGCGGCGGACGGGUGAGUAACACGUGGGUAACCUGCCAAUAAGACUGGGAUAACUCCGGGAAACCGGCGCUAAUACCGGAUAACAUUUUGAACCGCAUGGUUCGAAAUUGAAUGGCGGCUUCGGCUGUCACUUAUGGAUGGACCCGGGUCGCAUUAGCUAGUUGGUGAGGUAACGGCUCACCAAGGCAACGAUGCGUAGCCGACCUGAGAGGGUGAUCGGCCACACUGGGACUGAGACACGGCCCAGACUCCUGCGGGAGGCAGCAGUAGGGAAUCUUCCGCAAUGGACGAAAGUCUGACGGAGCAACGCCGCGUGAGUGAUGAAGGCUUUCGGGUCGUAAAACUCUGUUGUUAGGGAAGAACAAGUGCUAGUUGAAUAAGCUGGCACCUUGACGGUACCUAACCAGAAAGCCACGGCUAACUACGUGCCAGCAGCCGCAGUAA
rnacentral:rRNA from 1 species